UGGGGAAUUUUGGACAAUGGGGGAAACCCUGAUCCAGCCAUCCCGCGUGUGCGAUGAAGGCCUUCGGGUUGUAAAGCACUUUUGGCAGGAAAGAAACGUCAUGGGUUAAUACCCCGUGAAACUGACGGUACCUGCAGAAUAAGCACCGGCUAACUACGUGCCAGCAGCCGCGGUAAUACGUAGGGUGCAAGCGUUAAUCGGAAUUACUGGGCGUAAAGCGUGCGCAGGCGGUUCGGAAAGAAAGAUGUGAAAUCCCAGAGCUCAACUUUGGAACUGCAUUUUUAACUACCGGGCUAGAGUGUGUCAGAGGGGGGUGGAAUUCCGCGUGUAGCAGUGAAAUGCGUAGAUAUGCGGAGGAACACCGAUGGCGAAGGCAGCCUCCUGGGAUAACACUGACGCUCAUGCACGAGAGCGUGGGGAGCAAACAGG
rnacentral:rRNA from 1 species